GACGGAGGGAGCAAGCGUUGUCCGGAUUUACUGGGCGUAAAGCGCGCGUAGGCGGCCUGCUAAGUCGGUUGUGAAAUUGCGGGGCUUAACCCCGCAACUGCAGUCGAUACUGGUAGGCUCGAGUUCGGGAGAGGGAAGCGGAAUUCCUGGUGUAGCGGUGGAAUGCGUAGAUAUCAGGAAGAACACCGGUGGCGAAGGCGGCUUCCUGGACCGAUACUGACGCUGAGGCGCGAAAGCUAGGGGAGCGAACGGG
rnacentral:rRNA from 1 species